rnacentral:rRNA from 1 species
CAGUAGCCGCGGGAAUACGUAGGCGGCAAGCGUUGUCCGGAAUUAUUGGGCGUAAAGCGCGCGCAGGCGGCUUCCCAAGUCCCUCUUAAAAGUGCGGGGCUUAACCCCGUGAUGGGAAGGAAACUGGGAAGCUGGAGUAUCGGAGAGGAAAGUGGAAUUCCUAGUGUAGCGGUGAAAUGCGUAGAGAUUAGGAAGAACACCGGUGGCGAAGGCGACUUUCUGGACGAAAACUGACGCUGAGGCUCGAAAGCCAGGGGAGCGAACGGGAUUAGAUACCCCCGUAGUCCCUGUCUCUUAUACA